GAUGAACGCUGGCGGCGUGCCUAAUACAUGCAAGUCGAACGGACAGACGAUACAGUUGCUUGCUUCACGUUAGAGUGGGAGGGGGGAGUGAAAUGUGGAGAAACCAGCUACAUGACUGGGAGAACUUAGUGAAACCGGAACAAAAUACCGAAUACCGUAUCAACAUCAUUGUUGAAAAGUGAAAGACGGACUGGCUGCAUCUUAGAGCUGGAUCAGUGAUGUAUUAGCUAGUAGGUAAGGUAACGGCUCACCUAGGCCACGAUGCAUAGCCGACCUGAGAGGGUGAUCGGCCACACUGGAACUGAGACACGGUCCAGACUCCUACGGGAGGCAGCAGUAGGGAAUCUUCCGCAAUGGGCGAAAGCCUGACGGAGCAACGCCGCGUGAGUGAAGAAGGUCUUCGGAUCGUAAAGCUCUGUUAUAAGGGAAGAACGGAUGUGAGAGUAAAUAUUUCCAACUUGACGGUACCCAAACAAGAAGCCACGGCUAACUCCGUG
rnacentral:rRNA from 1 species